rnacentral:rRNA from 1 species
CAGUCGCCGCGGUAAUACGUAGGUGGCAAGCGUUGUCCGGAAUUAUUGGGCGUAAAAGGCUCGCAGGCGGUUUCUUAAGUCUGAUGUGAAAGCCCCCGGCUCAACCGGGGAGGGUCAUUGGAAACUGGGAAACUUGAGUGCAGAAGAGGAGAGUGGAAUUCCACGUGUAGCGGUGAAAUGCGUAGAGAUGUGGGGGAACACCAGUGGCGAAGGCGACUCUCUGGUCUGUAACUGACGCUGAGGAGCGAAAGCGUGGGGAGCGAACAGGAUUAGAUACUCCGGUAGUCCCUGUCUCUUAUAA